UUUUAUUAUGGUGGUGGGGUAUGGACUGUUCCCUGCCUUUUUGGUACAGAGGGGAAAUCAGGGAGGAGGACCACAUCACAUGGGUGCUGACACUGCCAAUGGGUCCUACAGAUUUAAUCUAAUAUUGCCAGUUUUCAAUGGGUCCCAGCCACCAACACCCAUAACAGGGGAAAGCGGAAAGUAGAGGGUGUGAGCGUUGACACUUGACAGGAAAGGACACGCGCAGAUCUAAAAGCAGAUGUGAAUAGCACACGUUUGAGAAAAGUGCAUCCUGCAGAGGCUGUGGCAGGGGCAGAAGAGUUCUGCAGAGACGGGAGGAAAUGGCAUCUUUUGGGAACUGUAAAACUUGAAUUAACUGUAAAACUGUAAAAGACUGGGAGGUGUGAAUGGAUGUGCGUGAUUGAUUGGUUUAUGGUAAAUUUCAAUUUUUCAUUUGGGUUUUUCACUGUGGCCUCGGAGUUUGGGAAAGGGGAUGGGGAAAAAGAGUAAGGGUAGGCUGCUGGCACAGUUGGAUUGGAUGUGCAUGCAGAUGCAGGGGUAGCAGUUGGGUCAUUAGGUUGUUGACACGUGGGGUCUGGAUGGGGACAGUCAGGCCUGGGAAGCUGUCUCCUACUAGAUCUUACUAGUUAAUUGGCUGUGGGGCAUUGGGUUCUGUUUGGGACAUGGAAAAGUGAUUUCCUUGACCCCAAUAAAGGGGGUGUUUGGUUGUAAUAGUAUUCAAGCUGGGUGUAAGUGAGAUGGUGAUUUGGAGAGAUACAACAACAAUAAAAAUAAAAUCAAGUCUUAGUCCUA